rnacentral:rRNA from 1 species
UCCUGGCUCAGGACGAACGCUGGCGGUGCGCUUAAUGCAUGCAAGUCGAACGGGCAAAGGGGCUUCGGCACCGGCGCUAGUGGCAGACGGCUGAGUAACACGUUAGUGAUCUGCCCUGGAGCGGGGGAUAAUCCGGAGAAAUCCGGCCUAAUACCCCGUACGUUCAUGUGGUUACGGCCAUGUGAAGAAAGGCUUUAGUCGCUCUGGGAGGAGCUUGCGGCCUAUCAGGUAGUUGGUGGGGUAAUGGCCUACCAAGCCGAAGACGGGUAGCCGAUGUGAGAGCAUGAUCGGUCAGAGGGGGACUGAGACACGGCCCCCACUCCUACGGGAGGCAGCAGCAGGGAAUCUUGCGCAAUGGGCGAAAGCCUGACGCAGCGACACCGCGUGGGGGAAGAAUGCCCCAGGGUUGUAAACCCCUUUUCUGUGGGAAGAGAUAGGACGGUACCACAGGAAUAAGCAUCGGCUAACUACGUGCCAGCAGCCGCGGUAAUACGUAGGAUGCGAGCGUUGUCCGGAUUUACUGGGCGUAAAGGGUGUGUAGGCGGCAUGUUAAGUCUCAUGUGAAAUCUCCCGGCCCAACUGGGAGGGGUCAUGGGAAACUGGCAAGCUGGAGGGCAGCAGAGGAAAGCGGAAUUCCGGGAGUAGUGGUGGAAUGCGUAGAUACCCGGAGGAACACCAGAGGCGAAGGCGGCUUUCUGGGCUGUGCCUGACGCUGAGACACGAAAGCGUGGGGAGCAAACCGGAUUAGAUACCCGGGUAGUCCACGCCCUAAACGAUGGAUACUAGAUAUAGGGGGUAUCGACCCCUUCUGUGUCGGAGUUAACGCGAUAAGUAUCCCGCCUGGGGAGUACGGCCGCAAGGCUAAAACUCAAAGGAAUUGACGGGUCCCCGCACAAGCGGCGGAGCGUGUGGUUUAAUUCGAUGAUAAGCGAAGAACCUUACCUGGGCUUGACAUGCUUCUGACAGCCCGUGAAAACGGGUUUUCCUUCGGGACAGAUGCACAGAU